CACUAUCGUUAACUGAAUACAUAGGUUAACGAGGCGAACCGGGGGAACUGAAACAUCUAAGUACCCCGAGGAAAAGAAAUCAACCGAGAUUCCCCCAGUAGCGGCGAGCGAACGGGGAGCAGCCCGGAGUCUGAAUCAGCUUGUGUGUUAGUGGAACGGUCUGGAAAGUCCGACGGUACAGGGUGAUAGUCCCGUACACGAAAAUGCACAGGUUGUGAACUCGAAGAGUAGGGCGGGACACGUGGUAUCCUGUCUGAAUAUGGGGGGACCAUCCUCCAAGGCUAAAUACUCCUGACUGACCGAUAGUGAACCAGUACCGUGAGGGAAAGGCGAAAAGAACCCCGGCGAGGGGAGUGAAAAAGAACCUGAAACCGUGUACGUACAAGCAGUGGGAGCACCUUCGGGUGUGACUGCGUACCUUUUGUAUAAUGGGUCAGCGACUUAUAUUCUGUAGCAAGGUUAACCGUAUAGGGGAGCCGAAGGGAAACCGAGUCUUAACUGGGCGUUAAGUUGCAGGGUAUAGACCCGAAACCCGGUGAUCUAGCCAUGGGCAGGUUGAAGGUUGGGUAACACUAACUGGAGGACCGAACCGACUAAUGUUGAAAAAUUAGCGGAUGACCUGUGGCUGGGGGUGAAAGGCCAAUCAAACCGGGAGAUAGCUGGUUCUCCCCGAAAGCUAUUUAGGUAGCGCCUCGUGAACUCAUCUUCGGGGGUAGAGCACUGUUUCGGCUAGGGGGCCAUCCCGGCUUACCAACCCGAUGCAAACUACGAAUACCGAAGAAUGUUAUCACGGGAGACACACGGCGGGUGCUAACGUCCGUCGUGAAGAGGGAAACAACCCAGACCGCCAGCUAAGGUCCCAAAGUCAUGGUUAAGUGGGAAACGAUGUGGGAAGGCACAGACAGCCAGGAUGUUGGCUUAGAAGCAGCCAUCAUUUAAAGAAAGCGUAAUAGCUCACUGGUCGAGUCGGCCUGCGCGGAAGAUGUAACGGGGCUAAACCAUGCACCGAAGCUGCGGCAGCGACACUAUGUGUUGUUGGGUAGGGGAGCGUUCUGUAAGCCGUUGAAGGUGUGCUGUGAGGCAUGCUGGAGGUAUCAGAAGUGCGAAUGCUGACAUAAGUAACGAUAAAGCGGGUGAAAAGCCCGCUCGCCGGAAGACCAAGGGUUCCUGUCCAACGUUAAUCGGGGCAGGGUGAGUCGACCCCUAAGGCGAGGCCGAAAGGCGUAGUCGAUGGGAAACAGGUUAAUAUUCCUGUACUUGGUGUUACUGCGAAGGGGGGACGGAGAAGGCUAUGUCAGCCGGGCGACGGUUGUCCCGGUUUAAGCAUGUAGGCGGAGGUUCCAGGUAAAUCCGGUACCUUGUUAACGCUGAGGUGUGAUGACGAGGCACUACGGUGCUGAAGUGAUAAAUGCCCUGCUUCCAGGAAAAGCCUCUAAGCAUCAGGUAACACGAAAUCGUACCCCAAACCGACACAGGUGGUCAGGUAGAGAAUACCAAGGCGCUUGAGAGAACUCGGGUGAAGGAACUAGGCAAAAUGGUGCCGUAACUUCGGGAGAAGGCACGCUGAUAGGUAGGUGAAGCCCCUGCGGGCGGAGCUGAAAUCAGUCGAAGAUACCAGCUGGCUGCAACUGUUUAUUAAAAACACAGCACUGUGCAAACACGAAAGUGGACGUAUACGGUGUGACGCCUGCCCGGUGCCGGAAGGUUAAUUGAUGGGGUUAGCGGCAACGCGAAGCUCUUGAUCGAAGCCCCGGUAAACGGCGGCCGUAACUAUAACGGUCCUAAGGUAGCGAAAUUCCUUGUCGGGUAAGUUCCGACCUGCACGAAUGGCGUAAUGAUGGCCAGGCUGUCUCCACCCGAGACUCAGUGAAAUUGAACUCGCUGUGAAGAUGCAGUGUACCCGCGGCAAGACGGAAAGACCCCGUGAACCUUUACUAUAGCUUGACACUGAACACUGGUCCUUGAUGUGUAGGAUAGGUGGGAGGCUUUGAAGCGUGGACGCCAGUCUGCGUGGAGCCAUCCUUGAAAUACCACCCUUUAAUGGCUGGUGUUCUAACGUAGACCCGUGAUCCGGGUUGCGGACAGUGUCUGGUGGGUAGUUUGACUGGGGCGGUCUCCUCCCAAAGAGUAACGGAGGAGCACGAAGGUUGGCUAAUCCUGGUCGGACAUCAGGAGGUUAGUGCAAUGGCAUAAGCCAGCUUGACUGCGAGCGUGACGGCGCGAGCAGGUGCGAAAGCAGGUCAUAGUGAUCCGGUGGUUCUGAAUGGAAGGGCCAUCGCUCAACGGAUAAAAGGUACUCCGGGGAUAACAGGCUGAUACCGCCCAAGAGUUCAUAUCGACGGCGGUGUUUGGCACCUCGAUGUCGGCUCAUCACAUCCUGGGGCUGAAGUAGGUCCCAAGGGUAUGGCUGUUCGCCAUUUAAAGUGGUACGCGAGCUGGGUUUAGAACGUCGUGAGACAGUUCGGUCCCUAUCUGCCGUGGGCGCUGGAGAAUUGAGGGGGGCUGCUCCUAGUACGAGAGGACCGGAGUGGACGCAUCACUGGUGUUCGGGUUGUCAUGCCAAUGGCACUGCCCGGUAGCUAAAUGCGGAAGAGAUAAGUGCUGAAAGCAUCUAAGCACGAAACUUGCCCCGAGAUGAGUUCUCCCUGAGACUUUAAGUCUCCUGAAGGAACGUUGAAGACGACGACGUUGAUAGGUCGGGUGUGUAAGCGCAGCGAUGCGUUGAGCUAACCGAUACUAAUGAACCGUGAGGCUUAACCUU
rnacentral:rRNA from 1 species